rnacentral:ncRNA from 1 species
UGGCAAACUUAUAGAAAUAUAAGGACGCAAAGUUAGAAGUCUAAGACAAUAAUUGUUAUGAUAGUUCGGCUGCA